CUGUGAUGGUCGCUCCUCCUUGAAGAAUGCUUCUUAGGCAUUGCGCCACCCUCUCCCCGGUUUUCUUCCUCAGACCUCCUUGACAGCCACAAAGUUUCUGGUGUUGACACACUGGCAGGACUUCCCUUGCAUGGGGCAGGCCACCCUGGAGUCAAGGCCUGCGCUUCUGAGAUGAAGCUCUGGGAUUCCAGGAAGGGGGCUCCCUACCUCCUCAGCUGGAAGUGGCUCCUGAGUGCCCACCACAGGAGGAAUUCCCUACAAAUCAUCUGAAUCUUGCCUCUUUCUUCAGCUACUGAUUUUGUCCUUUUUCUGACCAAGAAGAGCAUGUCUUCUUUUCUGCCCCUUGACUGGAGCUGAGAUCGGCACAGCGGGUUUGGCCUCACAGCCUGUCUCAGGCCCUCUGAGGAAUCAC
rnacentral:lncRNA from 1 species